rnacentral:rRNA from 1 species
GACGAACGCUGGCGGCGUGCUUAACACAUGCAAGUCGAACGGAAAGGCCCUGCUUUUGUGGGGUGCUCGAGUGGCGAACGGGUGAGUAACACGUGAGUAACCUGCCCUUGACUUUGGGAUAACUUCAGGAAACUGGGGCUAAUACCGGAUAGGAGCUCCUGCUGCAUGGUGGGGGUUGGACAGUUUCGGCGGUUGGGGCUGGACUCGCGGCUUAUCAGCUUGUUGGUGGGGUAGUGGCUUACCAAGGCUUUGGCGGGUAGCCGGCCUGAGAGGGUGACCGGCCACAUUGGGACUGAGAUACGGCCCAGACUCCUACGGGAGGCAGCAGUGGGGAAUAUUGCACAAUGGGCGGAAGCCUGAUGCAGCAACGCCGCGUGCGGGAUGACGGCCUUCGGGUUGUAAACCGCUUUCGCCUGUGACGAAGCGUGAGUGACGGUAAUGGGUAAAGAAGCACCGGCUAACUACGUG